AGUUGAGUCUUGACAUUUUUGAUGUACUGUUUCAUUCCACAUUUUGAGGAUGCUGGGAUUAUUAUAAGUAUUCGUAUCGGUGUCUUACUAUUUCACUUUAUUUUAAAACUGAUUAUAUUUGUUGAGUUUGACUUAUUCAUCAUGCUUGGGUUGGAAUAGAUGUCAUCAUAACCCUUAUUAUUUUGGGUCAUAACACAUGU
rnacentral:lncRNA from 1 species